GAGGGAGUGAGAGAGCCCGACUCAGAGCCUCGAAUGGCAUCUUCUGGCGAACGAUAGCGAGAGGGGACGUAGGAGACGACGGAGUCGGGGCUCAACGAAGGAGAAGGAGGAGGCGAGUUUGGCGUCCAAAAGGAACCUCCGUUGGUCUCUUCCUUUCCAUCUCUUCGUGGUCAUAGGCCAGUCCGAAAAUCUGCGGUUUUUAUUGGUCUGGGACACCAAGAAUUGCUCUUUUUUCCCCCUGUCUUUUGCAUUUUUGGUAUCAUGGGGCUGAGUCCGAGGAAGUGGAAGUGAGUUGGCGAUGAAAGUUCGGAUUUUUAGCUGGGUUCUUUCUCUGUACCAGGUAAUUGUUAUUGUGAUGACUGGUCGGUUCUGAUGGUAUGGUAUUUUAUUCUAUCCUUCCCUUCUUUUACUUGGUUUUCCUCUAUAGAGCCCUUAAUGAGGUCAAACUGAUUCGAUGGGACGGUUCCGUUUUCCUCCAUCCAGAUAGGGGUUUUCCUCGUUUAUAAUCUGAUUUGAGGCUUCACGUACUUGGGUAGGAAAAGAGGAGAUUCGGUUAUUAGCGGUAGGAAAUCUUGGUCUUUCGGGUUGAUUUGUGCUUGGGAGUUAUGUUGGAAGGCAACUCGUUGGGCAACAACAAGCGCCCAUUAGAUGAAGAAUUGGAAGAACAAGAAGAUCAGAUUAAGAGGAAGAAUUCGCCACAGCAUCACGAUACCCCUGAUCUAGAAGAUGUGCAGCGCACUACUGACAAUUCUGAUCACCACGAAAAUGAUAUGGACUACAAUGAUUGCAGCACCUUCAUCAACCCUCUCGGCAGGGAUCUGACAGUGAGCUGUCUUCUUCUCCUCUCCCGGUCCUAUUAUGGCACUGUGGCAUCCGUCAACAGUUCCUUCCGUUCGCUGGUCCGAAGCGGAGAGCUCUACCGGCUGCGUCGCCAGAUGGAGAUCUCCGAGCACUGGGUCUAUUUCUCCUGCAAUGUCCUUGAAUGGGAGGCAUACGAUCCCUACCGUGAGUGCUGGAUUGCUGUUCCUAAGAUGCCCCCUACCGAAAGCUUCAUGUGCUCGGAUAAGGAAUCCCUUGCUGUGGGCACCGAUCUCCUUGUUUUUGGAAAGGAGCUGAAUUCCUACAUGGUCCUGAGAUAUAGCAUUUUAACCAACUCCUGGUCACCUGGUGUGGUAAUGAACUCACCUAGGUGCUUGUUUGGAUCUGCUAGUCUUGGAGAGAAAGCUGUUGUAGCCGGUGGCACCAAUGCGGAAGGUGACGUACUUAGCUCUGCAGAGCUUUACAAUUCUGAGACACAGACUUGGGAGACCUUGCCCAGUAUGAACAGGGCACGGAAGAUGUGUUCGGGGGUGUUCAUGGAUAGAAAGUUCUAUGUCAUUGGCGGCAUGGAUUCUGACAGGAAUGUGCUGACAUGUGGGGAAGAGUAUGACUUCGAGAGACGUUCAUGGAGGGUGAUUCCUGAUAUGUCUGCUGGUCUCCAUGGUGCCAGUGGUGCGCCUCCACUUGUAGCUGUGGUGAAAAAUGAGCUCUAUGCAGCUCAUUAUGCUGACAAGGAGGUGAGGAAGUAUAUUAAGGAGAAUAAUACAUGGGUAACUUUGGGGCAGUUACCUGAAAGGUCUGUUUCAAUGAACGGUUGGGGCCUUGCCUUCCGUGCUUGUGGUGCACGGCUAAUAGUUAUUGGUGGGCCACGAGAAUCUCAUGGAGGGGUAAUUGAGCUCAAUUCUUGGAUUCCAAAUGGGAGGCCACCUAUAUGGAAUAUGAUGGCAAGCAAGCAUUCAGGAAGCUUUGUUUAUAAUUGUGCUGUGAUGGGCUGCUGAUUUCUGUUGUUCAUCCAUCAUGCCUGUAUUUUGCCUCUCCUGGAAAGAUGCAUGAUAUUGGCUUUCUAGAGAUGGAGACAAAUUAUUUUCUCACUUAUCUGGAGCGAAAAUUUCUGCAUAGACAGAAAAUUUUUCAACUGAAUUCAAUCUAUGUGACCUGCGAAGUGAGGAAAGUCGCACUGUCGGAUUCUGAUGCUGUAAAGAUAUCGACUGGUGGCUUUUCUCUCAAGUAAAAGAAAUAUAAAGACUCGGUGUUUCAAGAAGCUUGAUCUUCGGUCGUCGUCUCAUCGCGAGAUUUUUGCCUCUUGAGAUAUUAUAGAAUUACUCUUUUUUUUUUCUUUGUUUACCUUGAACUGUGAAAUGCUUGGCCAAUGGAAGAUGUAGAAAUUUGAAAUUGGUGCUUUCUUGGAUUCAUAUCCAGGGAUCCACAAAAUUGGUCAUGGUGUAAAUAUAUAGUUGGCUUAUGUAUCAAUUGACUGCAUCCGGAAGAUCCUGUUGAACUGACAUACUGCAUCAGUGAAUAAACCACACUCCUACAACAUAAAACAUUA